CAGCAGCCACGGGAAUACGAAGGGGGCUAGCGUUGCUCGGAAUGACUGGGCGUAAAGCGCACGUAGGCGGCUUUGUAAGUUAGAGGUGAAAGCCUGGGGCUCAACUCCGGAAUUGCCUUUAAGACUGCAUCGCUUGAACGUCGGAGAGGUGAGUGGAAUUCCGAGUGUAGAGGUGAAAUUCGUAGAUAUUCGGAAGAACACCAGUGGCGAAGGCGGCUCACUGGACGACUGUUGACGCUGAGGUGCGAAAGCGUGGGGAGCAAACAGGAUUAGAUACCCCAGUAGUCCCUGUCUCUUAUAA
rnacentral:rRNA from 1 species